GGGUUUUUUAUUUUAUACUUCAAAUCUUGAAUUUAUUUUUUAUGUUUUUUAAAUGUUUAUUUUUUUGAAUGUUUGAUUUAAAAAAAUAUAAAAAAUAAAAUAGAUAUUGACAUGGAUUAAACAAAGAUAUAUAUUAUUCUAUGUUGCAUAAACAAAUUGGCAAAGUAA
rnacentral:misc_RNA from 1 species